CGCGUAGGCGGUCUUUUAAGUCAGGUGUGAAAGCCCGGGGCUCAACCCCGGAAGUGCACUUGAAACUAAGAGACUUGAGUAUGGGAGAGGGAAGUGGAAUUCCUGGUGUAGCGGUGAAAUGCGUAGAUAUCAGGAGGAACAUCAGUGGCGAAGGCGACUUCCUGGACCAAUACUGACGCUGAGGCGCGAAGGCGUGGGGAGCAAACAGGAUUAGAUACCCUGGUAGUC
rnacentral:rRNA from 1 species